rnacentral:rRNA from 1 species
UACGUAGGGUGCAAGCGUUGUCCGGAAUUAUUGGGCGUAAAGAGCUCGUAGGCGGUUUGUCGCGUCUGCUGUGAAAACGUGAGGCUCAACCUCGCGCCUGCAGUGGGUACGGGCAGACUAGAGUGCGGUAGGGGAGAUUGGAAUUCCUGGUGUAGCGGUGAAAUGCGCAGAUAUCAGGAGGAACACCGGUGGCGAAGGCGGGUCUCUGGGCAACAACUGACGCUGAGGAGCGAAAGCGUGGGGAGCGAACAGG